rnacentral:tRNA from 1 species
AGCGGGAUAGCGCAGUUGGUAGAGCGCCAGGCUCAUUACCUGGAGGUCGUGGGUUCGAGUCCCACUCCCGCCC